rnacentral:rRNA from 1 species
UACGUAUGUCUCAAGCGUUAUCCGGAAUUACUGGGUGUAAAGGGUUUGUAGGUUGUAAGAUAAGUUGGAUAUGAAAGACCGGAGCUCAACUCCGUGUUUGUGUUCAAAACUGUCUUGCUAGAAUUAGGGAGAGGUAAGCGGAAUUUUAAGUGUAGGGGUGCAAUCCGUAGAUACUUAGAAGAACACCAAAAGCGAAGGCAGCUUACUGGAACUAUAUUGACACUGAAAAACGAAAGCGUGGGGAGCGAAAAGG